rfam:Vibrio parahaemolyticus RIMD 2210633 DNA, chromosome 1, complete sequence.
GGUUAAGUGACUAAGCGUACACGGUGGAUGCCUUGGCAGUCAGAGGCGAUGAAAGACGUAGUAACUUGCGAUAAGCCCAGAUUAGGUAGUAACAACCAUUUGAGUCUGGGAUUUCUGAAUGGGGAAACCCACGUGCAUAAGCACGUAUCCUUACCUGAAUACAUAGGGUAAGGAGGCGAACCGGGGGAACUGAAACAUCUAAGUACCCCGAGGAAAAGAAAUCAACCGAGAUUCCGAAAGUAGCGGCGAGCGAAAUUGGACUAGCCCUUAAGCUUUACACGCGUUAGACGAACGGUCUGGAAAGUCCGACGAUACAGGGUGAUAGUCCCGUAGUUGACGACGUGUGUUCAGUGAAAUCGAGUAGGGCGGGACACGUGAUAUCCUGUCUGAAUAUGGGGGGACCAUCCUCCAAGGCUAAAUACUACUGACUGACCGAUAGUGAACCAGUACCGUGAGGGAAAGGCGAAAAGAACCCCUGUGAGGGGAGUGAAAUAGAACCUGAAACCGUGUACGUACAAGCAGUAGGAGCAGGCUUUGUCCUGUGACUGCGUACCUUUUGUAUAAUGGGUCAGCGACUUAUAUUCAGUGGCAAGGUUAACCAUCUAGGGGAGCCGUAGGGAAACCGAGUCUUAACUGGGCGUUCAGUCUCUGGAUAUAGACCCGAAACCAGGUGAUCUAGCCAUGGGCAGGUUGAAGGUUGAGUAACAUCAACUGGAGGACCGAACCGACUAAUGUUGAAAAAUUAGCGGAUGACUUGUGGCUAGGGGUGAAAGGCCAAUCAAACCUGGAGAUAGCUGGUUCUCCCCGAAAGCUAUUUAGGUAGCGCCUCGGACGAAUACUACUGGGGGUAGAGCACUGUUAAGGCUAGGGGGUCAUCCCGACUUACCAACCCUUUGCAAACUCCGAAUACCAGUAAGUACUAUCCGGGAGACACACGGCGGGUGCUAACGUCCGUCGUGGAGAGGGAAACAACCCAGACCGCCAGCUAAGGUCCCAAAUUACUACUAAGUGGGAAACGAUGUGGGAAGGCUCAGACAGCCAGGAUGUUGGCUUAGAAGCAGCCAUCAUUUAAAGAAAGCGUAAUAGCUCACUGGUCGAGUCGGCCUGCGCGGAAGAUGUAACGGGGCUAAGUAGUAAACCGAAGCUGCGGCAAUGUGCUUUUGCACAUUGGGUAGGGGAGCGUUCUGUAAGCGGUUGAAGGUGUGUGGUAACGCAUGCUGGACGUAUCAGAAGUGCGAAUGCUGACAUGAGUAACGAUAAAGGGGGUGAAAAACCUCCUCGCCGGAAGACCAAGGGUUCCUGUCCAACGUUAAUCGGGGCAGGGUAAGUCGACCCCUAAGGCGAGGCCGAAAGGCGUAGUCGAUGGGAAACGGGUUAAUAUUCCCGUACUUCUUACAAUUGCGAUGGGGGGACGGAGAAGGCUAGGUGGGCCUGGCGACGGUUGUCCAGGUUCAAGUGCGUAGGCUUGAGAGUUAGGUAAAUCCGGCUCUUUUUAAGGCUGAGACACGACGUCGAGCCACUACGGUGGUGAAGUCAUUGAUGCCAUGCUUCCAGGAAAAGCCUCUAAGCUUCAGAUUGUAAGGAAUCGUACCCCAAACCGACACAGGUGGUCGGGUAGAGAAUACCAAGGCGCUUGAGAGAACUCGGGUGAAGGAACUAGGCAAAAUGGUACCGUAACUUCGGGAGAAGGUACGCUCUCGACGGUGAAGUCCCUCGCGGAUGGAGCUAUUGAGAGUCGCAGAUACCAGGUGGCUGCAACUGUUUAUUAAAAACACAGCACUGUGCAAAAUCGUAAGAUGACGUAUACGGUGUGACGCCUGCCCGGUGCCGGAAGGUUAAUUGAUGGGGUUAGACUUCGGUCGAAGCUCUUGAUCGAAGCCCCGGUAAACGGCGGCCGUAACUAUAACGGUCCUAAGGUAGCGAAAUUCCUUGUCGGGUAAGUUCCGACCUGCACGAAUGGCGUAAUGAUGGCCACGCUGUCUCCACCCGAGACUCAGUGAAAUUGAAAUCGCUGUGAAGAUGCAGUGUACCCGCGGCUAGACGGAAAGACCCCGUGAACCUUUACUACAGCUUGGCACUGAACAUUGACCCUACAUGUGUAGGAUAGGUGGGAGGCUUUGAAGCACGUACGCCAGUAUGUGUGGAGCCGUCCUUGAAAUACCACCCUUGUAGUGUUGAUGUUCUAACGUCGACCCCUUAUCGGGGUUGCGGACAGUGCCUGGUGGGUAGUUUGACUGGGGCGGUCUCCUCCCAAAGAGUAACGGAGGAGCACGAAGGUGGGCUAAUCACGGUUGGACAUCGUGAGGUUAGUGCAAUGGCAUAAGCCCGCUUGACUGCGAGAAUGACAAUUCGAGCAGGUGCGAAAGCAGGUCAUAGUGAUCCGGUGGUUCUGAAUGGAAGGGCCAUCGCUCAACGGAUAAAAGGUACUCCGGGGAUAACAGGCUGAUACCGCCCAAGAGUUCAUAUCGACGGCGGUGUUUGGCACCUCGAUGUCGGCUCAUCACAUCCUGGGGCUGAAGUCGGUCCCAAGGGUAUGGCUGUUCGCCAUUUAAAGUGGUACGCGAGCUGGGUUUAGAACGUCGUGAGACAGUUCGGUCCCUAUCUGCCGUGGGCGUUGGAAGAUUGAAGGGGGCUGCUCCUAGUACGAGAGGACCGGAGUGGACGAACCUCUGGUGUUCGGGUUGUGUCGCCAGACGCAUUGCCCGGUAGCUAAGUUCGGAAUCGAUAACCGCUGAAAGCAUCUAAGCGGGAAGCGAGCCCUGAGAUGAGUCUUCCCUGAUACUUUAAGUAUCCUAAAGGGUUGUCGGAGACUACGACGUUGAUAGGUCAGGUGUGUAAGUGCUGUGAGGCAUUGAGCUAACUGAUACUAAUUGCCCGUGAGGCUUAACCAU